rnacentral:misc_RNA from 1 species
GAAAUGCGAUACGUAAUGUGAAUUGCAGAAUUCCGUGAAUCAUCAAGUUUUCGAACGCACAUUGCGCUUCCGGGACGUUCCCUGGGAGCAUGUCUGUCUGAGUGUCCGCAACCCCUCUUCAGCUCCUUUCUUGCUGUCCAGCAAUGACAAGGCAGUUGGUGUGGUUGAGUCUGUGAUUCGUUACAGUCUUGAAAUGAAUGGAAGCACUGUCUAAAGUCAGUGACUGCACCUUCUCGCGGUGGAUGGCGCUCGUUCGCUCUCAGCUGCAGAAGGCUGCUCUCACUGUACUGGUGCAACCAGCGCAAACAGAGCUUGUCUCUGUUUCCUUUUCAUUUGGACCUCAGAUCAGGCAAGAGUACCCCCUGAAUUUAA